UACGUAGGGUGCAAGCGUUGUCCGGAAUUAUUGGGCGUAAAGAGCUCGUAGGCGGUCUGUCGCGUCGGAUGUGAAAACCCAGGGCUCAACCCUGGGCCUGCAUUCGAUACGGGCAGACUAGAGUUCGGUAGGGGAGACUGGAAUUCCUGGUGUAGCGGUGAAAUGCGCAGAUAUCAGGAGGAACACCGGUGGCGAAGGCGGGUCUCUGGGCCGAUAUCGACGCUGAGGAGCGAAAGCGUGGGGAGCGAACAGG
rnacentral:rRNA from 1 species